rnacentral:rRNA from 1 species
CCUACGGGUGGCAGCAGUCGAGAAUCAUUCACAAUGGGGGAAACCCUGAUGGUGCGACGCCGCGUGGGGGAAUGAAGGUCUUCGGAUUGUAAACCCCUGUCAUGUGGGAGCAAAUUAAAAAGAUAGUACCACAAGAGGAAGAGACGGCUAACUCUGUGCCAGCAGCCGCGGUAAUACAGAGGUCUCAAGCGUUGUUCGGAAUCACUGGGCGUAAAGCGUGCGUAGGCUGUUUCGUAAGUCGUGUGUGAAAGGCGCGGGCUCAACCCGCGGACGGCACAUGAUACUGCGAGACUAGAGUAAGGGAGGGGGUACCGGAAUUCUCGGUGUAGCAGUGAAAUGCGUAGAUAUCGAGAGGAACACUCGUGGCGAAGGCGGGUUCCUGGACAGUAACUGACGCUGAGGCACGAAGGCCAGGGGAGCGAAAGGGAUUAGAUACCCGAGUAGUC